rnacentral:rRNA from 1 species
UACGUAGGGGGCAAGCGUUGUCCGGAAUCAUUGGGCGUAAAGCGCGCGUAGGCGGCCCGGUAAGUCCGUUGUGAAAGUCAAAGGCUCAACCUUUGAACGCCGAUGGAUACUGCCGGGCUAGAGUCCGGAAGAGGCGAGUGGAAUUCCUGGUGUAGCGGUGGAAUGCGCAGAUAUCAGGAAGAACACCUAUGGCGAAGGCAGCACUCUGGGACGGUACUGACGCUGAGACGCGAAAGCGUGGGGAGCGAACAGG